UACGUAGGGCGCAAGCGUUGUCCGGAAUUAUUGGGCGUAAAGAGCUCGUCGGCGGUCUGUCACGUCGGAUGUGAAAGCCCGGGGCUUAACCCCGGGUCUGCAUUCGAUACGGGCAGACUAGAGUGUGGUAGGGGAGAUCGGAAUUCCUGGUGUAGCGGUGAAAUGCGCAGAUAUCAGGAGGAACACCGGUGGCGAAGGCGGAUCUCUGGGCCAUUACUGACGCUGAGGAGCGAAAGCGUGGGGAGCGAACAGG
rnacentral:rRNA from 1 species